rnacentral:rRNA from 1 species
GACGAACGCUGGCGGCGUGCUUAACACAUGCAAGUCGAACGGUGAAGGGGUCUGCUUUUGUGGGCCCUGGAUGAGUGGCGAACGGGUGAGUAACACGUGAGUAACCUGCCCCCUUCUUCUGGAUAACCGCAUGAAAGUGUGGCUAAUACGGGAUAUUCUGGGUCUGUCGCAUGAUGGGUCUGGGAAAGAUUGCGCCUUUGGGUGUUUUUGGUGGGGGAUGGGCUCGCGGCCUAUCAGCUUGUUGGUGGGGUGAUGGCCUACCAAGGCGGUGACGGGUAGCCGGCCUGAGAGGGUGGACGGUCACACUGGGACUGAGACACGGCCCAGACUCCUACGGGAGGCAGCAGUGGGGAAUAUUGCACAAUGGGCGCAAGCCUGAUGCAGCGACGCCGCGUGAGGGAUGGAGGCCUUCGGGUUGUAAACCUCUUUCGCCAGUGAAGCAGGCCUGCUCAUUGUGGGUGGGUUGACGGUAGCUGGAUAAGAAGCGCCGGCUAACUACGUG